rnacentral:rRNA from 1 species
CCUACGGGAGGCAGCAGUGAGGAAUAUUGGUCAAUGGCCGGAAGGCUGAACCAGCCAUGCCGCGUGAAGGUCAGUGCCCUAUGGGCGUUAAACUUCUUUUGUGCGGGAGCAAUAAUGGUCACGUGUGGCCAGACGAGAGUACCGUACGAAUAAGCAUCGGCUAACUCCGUGCCAGCAGCCGCGGUAAUACGGGGGAUGCAAGCGUUAUCCGGAUUUAUUGGGUUUAAAGGGUGCGUAGGCUGUGAGGUAAGUCAGCGGUGAAAUGCCCUCGCUCAACGGGGUGAAGUGCCAUUGAUACUGGCUGGCUGGAAUGCGGAUGCGGUAGGAGGAAUGUGUGGUGUAGCGGUGAAAUGCAUAGAUAUCACACAGAACACCGAUUGCGAAGGCAUCUCACGAAUCCGCGAUUGACGCUGAUGCACGAAAGCGUGGGUAUCAAACAGGAUUAGAUACCCUAGUAGUC